UACGGGGGGGGCAAGCGUUGUUCGGAAUUACUGGGCGUAAAGGGCUCGUAGGCGGCCAACUAAGUCAGACGUGAAAUCCCUCGGCUUAACCGGGGAGCUGCGUCUGAUACUGGAUGGCUUGAGGUUGGGAGAGGGAUGCGGAAUUCCAGGUGUAGCGGUGAAAUGCGUAGAUAUCUGGAGGAACACCGGUGGCGAAGGCGGCAUCCUGGACCAAUUCUGACGCUGAGGAGCGAAAGCCAGGGGAGCAAACGGGG
rnacentral:rRNA from 1 species